AUACGGAGGAUGCAAGCGUUAUCCGGAUUUAUUGGGUUUAAAGGGUGCGUAGGCGGUUUGCUAAGCGGGAGGUGAAAUGCCGGCGCUCAACGUCGGAAGUGCCUCCCGAACUGGUGGACUUGAAUGACUCUGCCGUGGGAGGAAUGUGUAGUGUAGCGGUGAAAUGCUUAGAGAUUACACAGAACACCGAUUGCGAAGGCAUCUCACGAAGGGUUGAUUGACGCUGAGGCACGAAAGCGUGGGGAUCAAACAGGAUUAGGUACCCUGGUAGUCCACGCAGCAAACGAUGAUGGCUAACCGCUGGGCUUAUCAGUUCAGUGGCCAAGCGAAAGCGAUAAGCUAUCCACCUGGGGAGUACGACCGCAAGGUUGAAACUCAAAUGAAUUGACGGGG
rnacentral:rRNA from 1 species